rnacentral:rRNA from 1 species
AAAGUCGUAACAAGGUCUCCGUUGGUGAACCAGCGGAGGGAUCAUUACCGAGUUUACAACUCCCAAACCCCUGUGAACAUACCUUAUGUUGCCUCGGCGGAUCAGCCCGCGCCCCGUAAAAAGGGACGGCCCGCCGCAGGAACCCUAAACUCUGUUUUUAGUGGAACUUCUGAGUAUAAAAAACAAAUAAAUCAAAACUUUCAACAACGGAUCUCUUGGUUCUGGCAUCGAUGAAGAACGCAGCAAAAUGCGAUAAGUAAUGUGAAUUGCAGAAUUCAGUGAAUCAUCGAAUCUUUGAACGCACAUUGCGCCCGCCAGUAUUCUGGCGGGCAUGCCUGUUCGAGCGUCAUUUCAACCCUCAAGCCCAGCUUGGUGUUGGGAGCUGCAGUCCUGCUGCACUCCCCAAAUACAUUGGCGGUCACGUCGAGCUUCCAUAGCGUAGUAAUUUACACAUCGUUACUGGUAAUCGUCGCGGCCACGCCGUUAAACCCCAACUUCUGAAUGUUGACCUCGGAUCAGGUAGGAAUAA